GCGUGGCUCGGUUCUUGUGAGCGAAGCUUUGUCCGGUUCGGCAAUGGACGGAAUCGUCACUGAGGUUGCAGUUGGCGUGAAGAGAGGAUCUGACGAACUACUCUCAGGCAGUGUUCUCAGUAGUCCAAACUCUAAUAUGAGCAGCAUGGUAGUUACAGCCAAUGGUAACGAUAGUAAAAAAUUUAAAGGAGAAGAUAAAAUGGAUGGUGCUCCUUCUCGUGUACUUCAUAUUCGAAAAUUACCUGGGGAAGUAACAGAAACUGAAGUUAUUGCUUUAGGCUUACCUUUUGGUAAGGUGACCAACAUCCUUAUGCUGAAAGGAAAAAAUCAGGCAUUUUUGGAACUAGCAACCGAGGAAGCAGCUAUUACUAUGGUUAAUUACUAUUCUGCUGUGACACCUCAUCUUCGUAACCAACCAAUAUAUAUCCAGUACUCGAAUCACAAAGAACUAAAGACAGAUAAUACAUUAAACCAACGUGCUCAAGCAGUUCUUCAAGCUGUGACAGCUGUCCAGACAGCAAAUACUCCUCUUAGUGGCACCACAGUUAGCGAGAGUGCAGUGACUCCAGCCCAGAGUCCAGUACUUAGAAUAAUUAUUGACAACAUGUACUACCCUGUAACACUUGAUGUUCUUCACCAAAUAUUUUCUAAGUUUGGUGCUGUAUUGAAGAUAAUCACAUUUACAAAAAAUAACCAGUUUCAAGCUUUGCUCCAGUAUGGUGAUCCAGUAAAUGCUCAACAGGCAAAACUAGCCCUAGAUGGUCAGAAUAUUUAUAAUGCCUGCUGUACCCUAAGGAUUGAUUUUUCCAAACUUGUGAAUUUGAAUGUAAAAUACAACAAUGAUAAAAGUAGGGAUUAUACUCGACCUGAUCUUCCAUCUGGGGAUGGACAACCUGCAUUGGACCCAGCUAUUGCUGCAGCAUUUGCCAAGGAGACAUCCCUCUUAGCUGUUCCAGGAGCUCUGAGUCCUUUGGCUAUUCCAAAUGCUGCUGCAGCAGCUGCUGCAGCUGCUGCUGGCCGAGUGGGUAUGCCUGGAGUCUCAGCUGGUGGCAAUACAGUCCUGUUGGUUAGCAAUUUAAAUGAAGAGGUGUUUAUGGAGAUGUGCAGCGUGUGAAGAUUUUGUACAAUAAGAAAGACAGCGCUCUAAUACAGAUGGCUGAUGGAAACCAAUCACAACUUGCCAUGAAUCAUCUUAAUGGACAGAAAAUGUAUGGAAAAAUUAUUCGUGUUACUCUGUCUAAACAUCAGACUGUACAGCUACCUCGAGAGGGACUUGAUGAUCAAGGGCUAACAAAAGAUUUUGGUAAUUCCCCAUUGCAUCGUUUUAAGAAACCUGGAUCCAAAAAUUUUCAAAACAUUUUUCCUCCUUCUGCCACUCUUCACCUAUCUAAUAUCCCUCCAUCAGUAGCAGAAGAGGAUCUACGAACACUGUUCGCUAACACUGGGGGCACUGUGAAAGCAUUUAAGUUUUUUCAAAGAGAUCACAAAAUGGCUCUUCUUCAGAUGGCAACAGUAGAAGAAGCUAUUCAGGCCUUGAUUGAUCUUCAUAAUUAUAACCUUGGAGAAAACCAUCAUCUGAGAGUGUCUUUCUCCAAGUCAACAAUUUAAAAAUGGGAAGAUGAAGAUUGGGGGUGAAUCACAUUGUUCAAUGUCAUCACCUAUUUGACUGUUCAGAAAAGUGGGGACCAGAG
rnacentral:sRNA from 1 species